rnacentral:rRNA from 1 species
GAGUUUGAUCAUGGCUCAGGAUGAACGCUGGCGAGAUGCUUAACACAUGCAAGUCGUACGAGGGUUUUUAACUCAAGUGGCGAACGGGUGAGUAACACGUAAGAAUUUGCCCUUAGGAGGGGGACAACAGCGAGAAAUUGCUGUUAAUACCCCAUAUGCUUUCGAGUGAAAUGGAUUUUUCCGCCUAGAGAGAAGCUUGCGGCUGAUUAGCUUGUUGGUGAGGUAAUGGCUUACCAAGGCGACGAUCAGUAUCUGGUUUGAGAGGACGAUCAGACACACUGGAACUGAGACACGGUCCAGACUCCUGCGGGAGGCAGCAGUGGGGAAUUUUCCGCAAUGGGCGAAAGCCUGACGCAGCAAUCUCCCGUGAGGGAUGACUGCCUAUGGGUUGUAAACCUCUUUUUUCAGGGAGGAAUAAAUGACGUGUACCUGAAGAAUAAGCAUCGGCUUACUCCGUGCCAGCAGCCGCGGUAAUACGGGGGAAGCAAGUGUUAUCCGGAAUCUCUGGGCGUAAAGCGUAAGUAGGUGGUUUAGUAAGUCAACUGUUAAAUCUUGAAGCUCAACUUCAAAACCGCAGUAGCAACUAUUAGACUAGAGUAUAGUAGGGGUAAAGGGAAUUUCCAGUGGAGCGGUGAAAUGCGUAGAGAUUGGAAAGAACACCGACGCCGAAGGCACUCUACUGGGCUAUUACUGACUCUCAGACACGAGAGCUAGGGUAGCAAAUGCGAUUAGAUACCCCAGUAGUCCUAGCCGUCCACAAUGGAUACUAGAUGUUGAACAGAUCGACCUGUGCAGUGUCAAAGCUAACUCGUUAAGUAUCCCGCCUGGAAAGUAUGCUCGCAAGAGUGUAACUCAAAGGAAUUUACGAGGACCCGCACAAGCGGUGGACCAUGUGGUUUAAUUGUAUUUUACGUGAAAACCCUUAGAUGGUCUUGACAUCCAGAAAACUAUUCAGAAAUGAAUGGGUGCCUUAGAGAAUUCUUUGACAGGUGAUGCAUGGCUGUCGUCAGCUCGUGUUGUGAAAUGUUGGGUUAAGUCCCGCAACGAGCGCAACCCUUAUCCUUUCUUGCCAGCGACUCGGUCGGGAACUCAAAGGAGACUGCCGGUGAUAAACCGGAGGAAGGUGAGGAGGAAGUCAAGUCAUCAUGGCCCUUAUGCCCAGGGCUACACACGUGCUACAAUGGUGUAUACAGAGAGAGGCAAACUCGCGAGAGUAAGCAGUCCUCACAAAGUACAUCACAGUUCGGAUUGAAGUCUGCAACUCGACUUCAUGAAGUCGGAAUCGCUAGUAAUCGCGAAUAAGAAUGUCGCGGUGAAUACGUUCCCGGUCCUUGUACACACCGCCCGUCACCCCAUGGAAGUGGGUUGCAAAAGAAGUGGGUAGCUUAACCUUUUUUACGAGAGGAGAGCGCUUUCCACUUUGUGAUUCAUGACUGGGGUGAAGUCGUAACAAGGUAACC